rnacentral:lncRNA from 1 species
GUCAUUUUGUUACUUCCAGUCCUGUCAGAGGCACAUAGCCUCCAGGCUAACUCUUUCUGUAACUAGCUCUUCCUGCGACCUCCCUUGGUAAAGUAACCCCAGCCUUCACCUCUGCAGCACUGUGAAGAAUGAGAGAGGAGGCCUUAAGAUCCCCUUGGAAAGCUUUCAUGAAACAGAGAAGGAUGGGCCUGAACGAUUUUAUUCAGAAGCUUGCCAACAACUCCUAUGCAUGCAAACACCCUGAAGUUCAAUCCUAUUUGAAAAUCUCCCAACCUCAGGAGCCCGAACUUAUGAACGCCAACCCCUCACCUCCUCCAAGUCCCUCUCAACAAAUCAACCUGGGUCCAUCCUCAAAUCCCCACGCCAAACCCUCUGACUUCCACUUCUUGAAAGUGAUCG